ensembl:snRNA U6 U6 spliceosomal RNA
GUACUCACUUCGGCAGCACAUAUACUAAAAUUGGAACGACACAGAGAAGAUUAGCAUGGGCUCUGUGCAAGAAUGAUAUGCAAAUUUGUGAAGCAUUGAUAUUUUUA